rnacentral:rRNA from 1 species
UUUAAUUUGAGAGUUUGAUCCUGGCUCAGGAUGAACGCUGGCGGCGUGCUUAACACAUGCAAGUCGAACGAAGCACUUACGACAGAACUUUUCGGAGGGAAGAUGUUUGUGACUGAGUGGCGGACGGGUGAGUAACGCGUGGGUAACCUGCCUUGCAGAGGGGGACAACAGUUGGAAACGACUGCUAAUACCGCAUAAUAGAUCAAGACCGCAUGAUCAUGAUCUUAAAGAUUUAUCGCUGCAAGAUGGACCCGCGUCUGAUUAGCUAGUUGGUGGGGUAACGGCCUACCAAGGCAACGAUCAGUAGCCGGCUUGAGAGAGUGAACGGCCACAUUGGGACUGAGACACGGCCCAGACUCCUACGGGAGGCAGCAGUGGGGAAUAUUGCACAAUGGGGGGAACCCUGAUGCAGCGA